UACGUUCCCGGACCUUGUACACACCGCCCGUCAAGCCAUGGAGUUGGGAGGACCUGAAGACAGUUGCUGUAAGGCGCUGUUUAGGGUUAAACCGAUGACUGGGGCU
rnacentral:rRNA from 1 species